UACGUAGGUGACAAGCGUUGUCCGGAUUUACUGGGCGUAAAGGGCGCGUAGGCGGUCAGCACAAGUCAGUUGUGAAAUCUCCGGGCUUAACUCGGAAAGGUCAACUGAUACUGUGCGACUAGAGUGCAGAAGGGGCAACUGGAAUUCUCGGUGUAGCGGUGAAAUGCGUAGAUAUCGAGAGGAACACCUGCGGCGAAGGCGGGUUGCUGGGCUGACACUGACGCUGAGGCGCGAAAGCCAGGGGAGCGAACGGG
rnacentral:rRNA from 1 species